UGAGCAACCUGCCCUCGGCACCGGAAUAGCCCGGGGAAACUCGGAUUAAUGCCGGAUAGCCCCACAGCCCGCAGGGGCGGUGGGAAAAGGUAGCUUCGGCCUCUGGCCGAGGAUGGGUCCGCGGCGGAUUAGCUAGUUGGUGGGGUAACGGCCCACCAAGGCGACGAUCCGUAGCUGGUCUGAGAGGACGAACAGCCACACUGGGACUGAGACACGGCCCAGACCUCCUACGGGAGGCAG
rnacentral:rRNA from 1 species